GUUUCUCGGCAUGGCAACAGUUGUGGAUGCUGCCUGCGUGGCCAGGGCUCCUAGUAGCACUGACCUGCAAGGUAGGAGUUUUGGUUCUUAGACUUGAGACCUUGGGCAAGUCACUUUACCAUUCUGAGCCUCAGUUUCCUCAUCUGUGAAAUGAAGAGGCUGGAUGAGGCUGGAGGGUUCCUAAGGUCCUUUCCUGACCAAAACCCUAGUGCUUCUCGGCUCUCCUCCAGUCCCGUUACCGAGUGACAGGGAGGGGAGCAAGGGCCAGGCCAGGCCUGGGGGUGGCAGGGGAGCCAGCUGUUCCCCCCCAAGGGCACACAGCCUCCAUCCAGGCCCUCUGCGAGUUCCAUGUGCGGCAGACACGCGCUCACACUUCGCAGCCGGAGGAGCAGGCAGGAAGCGCCGCCCCCCGGCCGCCCCGGCCGCCCACCCUCAACCUUCCUCCACGUUACCUUGGGCGUGUAGGCUUCCCGUGGACCUGCCCGCGCCGCCCGCUCGGCUCUCAGCUGUCAAGCAGCCGCCUGCUCCGCCCGACUCUUUCCGCUCCGAGCCGCGCGGGCUGGACCAGCCCCUCAGCGGAGCUGAACGGGAAGCGGCGCCCCCUGGACGCCCUCCGGGACGUGCGCGCGCCAAGCGGUGGGGUCCGGGCCUGCAGGCGCGACCUGAGGCCGCCAGGGAGGCUGGGUGGCGAGGGCGGGGCGGCUGCCGACUUAGCCGGCCUGACUGGUCGGGCUUCCGGGGUCCCGCUGCUCCCUAGGCCCCUUGCCCCGAUUCAGGCUCCCAAGGUGGGGCAUCAGUCCGGCCCUCGCUGGCUCACUGGAGAGGUGGUGUCUGGGAGUGCACCCCCGAAAACCCGGCAGCAGCCCGGCGUCACUCCGGCUGUUACCUCUGGGAGCAGAAACUAAAGGGGAUCCUUAUUCUUUAUACUUUUCUGACUCUUCUAUAUAUUCUACUGUGGGCAUGAAUCGUUAAAAACAAAACAAAACACCAAAAACCCAAUACGUAUUUGUUAAUAAAGCACUGAGUAAAUCUUCAAAGGCCUCCCGAGGUGCUCCGGCUGCAGGAUAACCCCUCAGCUUAGCGCACAAGGCAAGGCCCACCCUGCCCUCUCCGGCCACAACCUAAUUUUCCAGCCUCACCCUCUCUCCCUCACACACACACAACACUUUCGCUCUGGACACACUAGCUGUUGCCAAACACCAGCUGUUCUUCAUGGCUGCUGGGAGUUCUUCUUUUUGCCUGGAACACCCUCCCCUUUCAUCUCUGCCUGUUGAAAUCCUACUCAUCCAUCCAGGCCCCUCUGAAAUGUCACCUUUUUGGAGAACCCUUCCCCAGACACUGCCCCUGCAGAGUGCCCCAGUUCUUUCCUGGCAAGCCCAUCUUUCUGGUACUGGUUUAUGUAGUAGCAUCCCCCUCUCACACGCGCUAAGUCCUAUUCCAAGGUGGAGAGAAACAAAUUAGCACUUACUGAGCAGCUGUUAUAAAUUACUCUGUGGAGUCCUUUCUUCUCCUUGCAGCCCAGCCAGCCACUAGCCCACAACCUCCCUCCACCCUGCCAGAGUUUCAGAAGGCUGUCAGGGGCUCUGAGGCCUGCCCUCUGGUGUGUCCCUACUGCGUGCCUUGGCUUUUCUGGCUCUGUCCUGGGUAUGCUUCCCUGUGUCAACUCCCAAGGUCUGCAAGCUGGUGGCUUGACCUUCUCUCAGCCUUAUGUGAGGAAAGAAGGACAUUUCAUUAUCAGAAUCUGAGAAGUGGAAGGGGCCUCAGAGAUUAUCCAGUGUAAAGCCUGCCCACCCAUUUUACAGAGCAGAAAACUGUGACCAGAGAGAUAAGGUCAGAGGCAUCGGAGGUACCUACCAUUGUUAUUGUUGUUUUUAAUAGUGUUAAUACUUGCACGUUUAGAUCGCCUUUCACUUCUAAAUCAAUGCGUUGUCAUUCAUUUGCCCCUUACAGUCUCAGAGGUAUUACAGUGGUUAGUGCACAGACUCUGGAGGCCAAAGCCCUGGGUUUGAAUCUCAGUGCUCCAACUUGCCAGCUACGUCCUUGGCAAGUUACUGGAACUUUCUCCAUCAGUACAAUGUGGAUAGUAACAGCUCCUGCAUCAUGGGGUGUUCUAUGAAUCGAAAUAAAUGUGUAUCUUUAAAGGGCUUAGAAUAGUAGUAGGUUCAUUAAAAAUGCCAAAUGUAUUUGCUCUUAUCAAAUUUUUGUUAUUGUUAAUUGUAUCACUUCACAGUUGGAAUAACAGAGGCUCAGAAAGGCUGAGACUCAUCCAAAAAAUUGCUGCUUUGAGGAUGGUUUCUCACCAAACUCCAUGCAGUCAUCUUUGUCUCUGAUGCCAUUCUGCUUCCUGUUCCCUUGUGUCUGAGUCUAACCACCUAUUUAAUAGGGAAGAAAAGCAACUGUCCUUUAGCCCACCUCAGAACACCUAGACAUUUCAUGUUGCAAACAUUAACCACAUCUUCUGGCUUCUAUGGGGAUGUCUCUAAUUUGCUGGCGUUUUCUUUAACAGAACACCACGCCUCAUGGUGCCCUUCAGAAUCACAGAGCCAUCACAUUAACUGCUGCAAGUUCAGCUUGUACAUUCGUGCCUCUUUUACUCUUGGCCCGUGGCAGAAAAGCGACAGGGAAAAGAUGGUUCUUCCAAUGUAUGGAUGUAGGAAACUGAGGCACAGUUGAUACUCACUGAUUGGCCCCAGGCUAUGGAGCUAGCCUGGACCAUGGGAAGGAUGAGGAUCUCCACCUCCUCUUUCCCCAUGAUUACAUGAUUCAGUGUUGCAGGAGAAACCCAAACUCGUUUAUUCAAUGAGGAUUUAUUGAGCUCUCUCUAGGUGACGAAUAAGACCGAGGCAAGGCUGGCUUCCUGGGCAUAUGACCUAUGAAGUCACAUAGGCCAGAGGUCCCCAACCUUUUUGGAACCAGGAACCUGUUUCGUGGAAGACAAUUUUUCCAUGGACCAGGGGUGGGAGUGGGGGGUGGGAAUGGUUUCAGGAUAAAACUGUUCCACCUCAGAUCAUCAGGCAUUAGUUAGAUUCUCAUAAGGAGUGUGCAAACUAGAUCCCUCACAUGCACAGUUCUCAAUAGGGUUCACGGACCAGUACCCCAUUACCGGUUUGUGGCCUGGGGUUGGGGACCCCUGACAUAGGCCACUCACUUAGAAGGGCUUCAUACAGAGUUUAAUGCUGUCCUGCCACCUUCUUGAAAUCUUAACAAUUUUUGAACAAGGGGCCAUAUAAGUUGUAUUUUACACUGGACCAUUCAAGUUGUACAGCUGGUCUGGACCUAGGCUCUUCCCUAGGAGCUCUGUUUCACAGGGAAUCAGCCAGGGAGUUGACAACUGCAGUUCAGUACGAUGGGGGUUGUGACAGAAGCAGGGUAGCCGUGAAAGAAGAACAGGACCUUGGCCAGUAUUCAGCUCACUUGGGUCAUCCUCCCCAGCUGUGCAACCUGCCCAGCUGCCAAUGACUUACCACUGUGCUCCUUGGUGGGAGGAUGGCCUUGGUUUAGCACCAGGGCCUGUAGCCCCAGACAGCAGCUGCAAACCCUGCCACCCUAAGAGGCCACUGCUAGGUCAUGUCAACACCAGGAAAUGUGUGUCAUUGGAGCCCUAAGCUGUUCUCAUGUCCUCCAACCCAGGACUCAUGUCCCUGAUCUCAUGUCCCCGAUCACCAGACUGCCAGUGGACUCUACUUUCUGCUGCCUGCCCAGACCCAGUCAACUUCCAGAAAAGGGCACAUAAAGUGAUCCACACUGAAAAGCAAUUGGCAGACAAAACCUAAUGGGCUAUUCAUCCAAAGGAAACUUGGGUUUUAUUAGGGGUAUCUGGUGUCCUCCUGGCCUGCAUUCUGACAUAUAAUAAGCAUCUAAGUCAUGACAAUUGAGUGAACAUACAAAAGGUAAAUACAUAUGGCAAAGCCUAGAAUUGGAAUUGGCAGUUUGAAGGCCAUUGGCCCAAGAACAGGGUAUUUUCGGUUGUGUUCUCUUUUCUUUCUUUUUUUUGGAUGAGUGCUGGAAGCCCCAACACAAUUGUUUGGGAAUAAAUGGAAGUGAGGAAUGGAGAAGUAAGGAGGUACCACUCUCAAGGAGGCUGUCAGUAGAGGGGACAAAGAGUGUGAGAGAGGAACAGAAGAACCAAGCAGGAGACUGGAAGAGGCUGCAUACAGAAGGGCAGCAUCUGCCCCACCUCCCAGAGCUUCGCCAGCAAAGGCCAAAUCAAACAGCGGCCCAGAGCAGAGGGCUGGCCAGCUCUACAGAGCCAGCAAACACCAGAGGGAAAUCACCCUGGAUCCAUAUCUUCUAACCUUUGCCUCUGUGAGCAUGUUUGGGAAGGAGACAUCUAUGAGAUUGCAGGAGCCAAUUCAGGCUACAUGCUUAUAGCUGCAAUUGAAAAAUUAGGCUAGAAUGCAGGGCCUCCCUGAAGAUAUUUCUGAAAAUCAUGUACUUCCUUUAAGGGAUUUACAAAUCUGGAGUCCUUCCAAAACAGGACAAGUAAGACAUGAGCAGUGACUUUCUACUCUCCAUCCAGCAGCCAACAAUAGACUUCGUCAUUCAGAUGGAGCUGCAGAGGUACAGACCUGAGAGAGCUGGAAGUCAUAGAGCCAAUCCCAUGUAUUACUGACGAGGUAACUAUGGCUCAGGGUGACUUGACCUGUAAGCCACAAGCUUGUGGGUGACCACUCCAGGCCCUGAAUGGAGGAUUUCACUCCAUCCCCCUGCCCCACAAGUGGCCUCUGAGAGACAGAGUACCUGAUGCCACCUUAUGUGGGAUAUUGUUUUUGCUGUCACGAAUUUCUGAAUCCCCUCUUUGUGGAAUAGAGAAAUCAAAGCCACCAUACGUUCAAGGGUAUCCACUAAAGAAGCCACAUGGUUACUUCAGCUAAAAAUAAAUUAAAGACCUAACAAUGAAUUAUCAUUUAUCUAAUCAUCUGGGAAUGAUGAAAUUAAUGUUUCGUAUCUACUAUUUUACAGUUAUAAAUUGCUUAGAAAGUAUAGAUAUUUUUCCCUCAUAAUUCUGCUUUCCCAUGAGUGCACAUGCAUACACACAAGACCCAACCACAGUAUCUUGACCGUGAAUAUAAUAAAUAAGGAAAUAACAAAUGUAGUAAGGUGAAGGAGGGGGUUCUGUCAGCCCAAGAAUGUUCUAGGCCUAGUGUUUGGUGGAGCCAACCAGCUCCUACAAGCCAGCGAAAACAAAGAAAAGUGCCUGGCCAUUUCAUUACAGAGUGCUUCCCAAUAAUCUAAUUCCUCCACCAUCAAAAUUUGGUCAGGGAACAUCACCAUUUUUAGAGAGAUGCUUUGUUUUGAUAAAACAACCCUUCUGUAUUAGUCUCUUCUCAUGCUGCUGAUCAAGACUUACCUGAGACUGGGUAAUUUAUAAACGAAAAGAGGUUUAGUGGACUCACAGUUCCAUGUGGCUGGGGAGGCCUCACAAUCAUGGUGGAGGGCAAAAGGCACGUCUUAUAUGGUGGCAGACAAGAGAGAGCUUGGGCAGGGAAACUCCCCUUUAUCAAACCAUCAAAUCUCGUGAGACUUAUUCACUAUCACAAGAACAGCACAGGAAAGACCCACCCCUAUGAUUCAAUUACCUCCCACCAGGUCCCUCCCAUGACAAAUGGGAAUUGUGGGAGCUACAAUUCAAGAGGAGAUUUGAGUGGGGACACAGCCAAACUAUAUCACCUUCUAAGCUUAUGUCUCACUAUUCACCCACAAAUAGGCUGUAAAGAGCCCAGCAUUUGCUUUCUAGCAAUGGUGUCAUACCAGCUUUGCUUUCCCUGCCUGCAGGGCCCUCCAUGCAUCUCUGUUUAAAGUCUAAAGCCAGAUCCAGCUUUCAUGCUGCCUACUGCAGAAAGACACCUCUGGUGUUUCUCAACCAGAGGAGCCUCCCCACCUCUCAAUUCCGGACCACUUCUCUUAAAAACAUGACCAAUGAUGCCAAAAGUCUAAUUUAUGUGUAGAGUUGGUGUUGCAGAGUAGAAGGGGAUUGAGAGGUUGAGACUAAAUAACUACUCAGCUUUGAACAUGUCAGGAAGUUUAUCUGUUCUUCGGCUUCCUAAUCUGUAAAAUGUAGUUAGGGACAGGAUCUACCUGAUGAGGUUGUUGUGAGACGUAAAUGAAAUAAUUCACAUAAAAAGCAACUAGUACAGUGCCUGGUACAUAGUCAAGGCUUACAGUGUCAG
rnacentral:lncRNA from 1 species